AGCCCAUAGAGGUUAAGGAACACAACCUGAAGCUAGCGCAAAAUUUUUUUUACCUCCUCAGAAAAUCUGUCAAGUUUUUAGGCCAUAUCGUCACGGCAGAGGGCAUUGCAACCGACCCAGGAAAAGUGUCUGCAAUCAACGACAUCACAGCAGCUGACCUGAUGGAAAAUGAUGGGAAAACACCUUCACCCACCAAGGACAGAAAAGUAAGCGGAAAGGAGAAAAAGGAAAACCUCAUGGCAUGGCCCAUAAACGUCUGAAACCUGAAGACUGGACUUCUGAAUGUGGGGAGGCGCUGGAGAAGCUAAAAGCUGCUGUCUCCCAAAAAGCCGUGCUGGCUCACCCAGACUUUAACAGACCAUUUCUCCUAUCAACAGAUGCAUCAAUGGAUGGCUUAGGUGCAGUACUUAGUCAGACAUUUGAGGGUGAGAGUAGGCCCAGACCAGUAGCUUUUGCAAGCAAGACUCUGUCGAGGUCCCAGUCCCGUUACCCAGCACACAGAUUAGAGUUCUUCGCUCUUAAGUGGGCUGUGUGUGAUAAGUUCACCCAUUGGCUGAAGGGGAAUAGAUUCUAAGUCCUAACAGAUAACAACCCCCUGACAUAUAUAAUUACGAAACCAAAGCUAGAUGCCUGUGAGCAGCGAUGGGUCUCUAAACUGGCCCCCUUCGACUUUGACUUGAAGUACAUCCCCGGGCCCCAGAAUGUCCCAGCAGACCAGCUUAGUCGACAGCCAUUCGUUGGAGCUAGGAAGGCAAGUGAGUUCCCAGAGUAUGUGACUUCAGAGUCCAUCCAGGACGCAUUCAAACUGUCAGUCAAUAUCCAAGGUGGUGAGAUCCUGGCUCAAGUCUCUUCUGAAGGGGUGAAAGCAGUUUUGGAGUCCUGUCUGGAGUGGGAUGUGAGUGUGCCAGUGCGCACAUUCCAAUUAGCCCAGUAUUCUGCCAGCAUCCCUCAGCAUGAAGGGGGAGUGGCUACUCUUCCAGUCCUUUCUCCUGAUGUGAUACGGAGAAAACAGAAGGCGGAUCAGGUGCUGGCCCGAGUGGCGUACUUUGUUGAGAGGAGGAGGAGACCUUCGCGGAGAGAGAGGGCUCAUGAGACUGCCCAAGUGUUGAGAAUGCUGAAGCAUUGGGAUAAACUCGAAAUCAAGGAUG
rnacentral:lncRNA from 1 species